AGUGAACGCUGGCGGUAGGCCUAACACAUGCAAGUCGAACGGCAGCACAGUAAGAGCUUGCUCUUACGGGUGGCGAGUGGCGGACGGGUGAGGAAUACAUCGGAACCUACUUUUUCGUGGGGGAUAACGUAGGGAAACUUACGCUAAUACCCCAUACGACCUACGGGUGAAAGCAGGGGAUCUUCGGACCUUGCGCGAUUGAAUGAGCCGAUGUCGGAUUAGCUAGUUGGCGGGGUAAAGGCCCACCAAGGCGACGAUCCGUAGCUGGUCUGAGAGGAUGAUCAGCCACACUGGAACUGAGACACGGUCCAGACUCCUACGGGAGGCAGCAGUGGGGAAUAUUGGACAAUGGGCGCAAGCCUGAUCCAGCCAUACCGCGUGGGUGAAGAAGGCCUUCGGGUUGUAAAGCCCUUUUGUUGGGAAAGAAAAGCAGCAGGUUAAUACCCCGCUGUUCUGACGGUACCCAAAGAAUAAGCACCGGCUAACUUCGUG
rnacentral:rRNA from 1 species